rnacentral:lncRNA from 1 species
AUAGUAGCCAACUACAUGUUGAGACAAUACUUUGAGUAUACUGGAUUAAAAAUUAUUAAAAAUAUCACUUGUCAUUUUUUAAAAAGCGGCCACUGGAAACAUAAAACAGAUUAUUCGAAGAUAUUAUACUAAGCAAAAUAAGCCAGUCACAAAAGGACAAAUACUAUCAAUUACGACAUUUAUAAAAUCAAUUACCAAUUACUAAAAUUAUAAUCACACUGACUUAAAAAUUUUUUUCCUUUGCCUUCUUAGGCCUCACCUGUGGCAUAUGGAAGUUCCCAGGCUAGGGCACUGAAUGGGAGCUGCAGCUGACAGCCUAUGCCACAGCCACAGUAAAGCCAUACCUGAGCCUUAUCUGUGACCUAUGCCGCAGCUCGCAGCAACACAGGAUCCUUAAUCCACUGAGUAAGGCCAGGGAUCGAACCUACAUCCUCAUGGAUCCUAGUCAGGUUCUUAACCUGCUGAGCCACAAGGGGAACUCCUUAAAAGCUUUAUUUUAGGAGUUCCCAUCGUGGCACAGCAGAAACGAAUCCAACUAGGAACCAUGAGGUUGUGGGUUUGAUCCCUGGCCUCGCUCAGUGGGUUAAGGAUACAGUGUUGCUGUGAGUUGUGGCGUAGGUCACAUACAUGGCUCAGAUCAUGCGAGGCUGUGGCUGUGGCUAUGGCCAGUAGCUGUAGCUCCGAUUCGACCCCUAGCCUGGGAACCUCCAUAUGCCGUGGGUGUAGCCCUAAAAAGCAAAAUAAAAAAGUCUUAAUUUGUUUUAAAUACUCAUCAUAGGUGAUCUCAAGAGAUUUAGUAAAAUAUGAACUGAAAGUAUAAUAGAUACAAUUGGUAAAAAGGUAUUUAUAUUUGUAAACUACAAUUACUAUGAAUCAUUUUUCAGCAGAGACUUUCCUGAUCUCAAAUGAUAGGCUAAACUGAACCCUUAAAAUAGCAGGACAAGGAUGUUAUCUCACUAUUCAAGGCGAAGAAGGUCCAUUAAAAGUACCCUGUUUUUUUCCCCCCCGAUACAGCUCUGGUAUCUUCAUCAGUGGCUAGAACAUAGCAAGUACUCAGUAAGUGUAAAAUCAAUAAACAGUCCCUGCCUACAAAGGGUUUAUAGAGAUGAAACCCCAUAAGUAUACACAGGAAAAGAGGCAAUGUGUCAGAUGUGUCACAAGCUAAAUAUUCUGAGGCUUCUUAACAGGGACAGUUCAUUCUCGGCAGGGGCGGUUAGGAGAAGGUGUAAGUAACUGUUGAGCUGGGGCCACUAAAGUUAAGUGGAGAAUCUGCAUUCACUGCAAAAAAAAUAAAAAAUAAAAAAUAAAAAUAAAAAAACUGCUGGCAUAGUUCCAGAAGUGGAGAGGCAAGGAGUUUACGUUAAGCUUCUGAGUAGUAAUCAACAAGGCGGGAAGGUAGACUGGGGAUAGGACGGAGACUGUGAGUUGAAGCCUGAGUGCUGUCAUGUCUGGUAGGCACUGAGGCGAUGCUGCAGGUACUGAAGUAGAGAAGCCAUGCAAUUCUAAUGGCACUUGGAAAGAAUUAAUCUGGUUGCAUUCAGCAGGGCCCAUUAAAAAAAGGUCUAGAUUAAGUAGAAGAGUGGAUACCAGAUGUAGCCAUUGUCAGAAUCAGCUGAGGGAGCUGACACCCAUUCUAGACCUACCUAUUCAAUCUGAAAGGUUGGCAAAAUAGCCAGAGCCUUAGGUAUAAGGUAACAAGACAAUGAAGUGACAGCAAAAUGAAGAGGGGGAAAAAGUUCAACUAUGAAGCCUGAAACUGACAUUAAAAUUUGUGUUUUCCAUUAAGACUACAGUGGUUUCAUGGACAAAAAUUUAGCUUACCUAUCAGCCACAUAUAAACAUUUUUUCCCCCGUAACUUCAAACUUAUUACAAACUUAUUAAACUUAUUAUUAUUAUUCAAACUUAUUAAACUAAGUAUGGUGACAUAAAGAUUUCCCCUGUUAGAAAGGUGGUACAAUGUAGUGACAAAGAAUAUAGCUCUAGAGCUGGAGAGAUCUGUGUUUAAAUCCCUGCUCUGCCGCUUACUAGCUUUGAGCCUCUAAAAACGUUACUUCACCUCUGGAGGUCUGUUUCCUAUGGACACUGUUCAAAUGUCAGAAGUUUUUUUAUCAUUACCUCGAAACAGAUCAGACAUAAGAACAAUCACUUUGAAAAUUACGAGUUCAUAGCAGCAUACAAUCUUUUAAAAAGCAUGGACUAUUACUAUUUCUGAAAAUCAGAUGUAGUUGCCAUACCUGUUCCUGUACACGUUAUAAUGUGCAUUGAUACUUACACACAAUAGUGUUUUUAUACAAUCCUUCACAUUUGUGUGAGCCAUUCAUACUAUUAGAGUUAGCAUAUGACUUAAUUUUACAAGCUCGGUGGCAUUUAUAGUGGUUAGGCAACAGAACAUUCAUAAAUAGCCAAAAUGAACCUAUAAGUGACUUAGAAAUAAAAGGUGUGAUCUAGAUUUUGUUUAUUAAACAUAGACAUAUGAAAUUUGAGUUGUCUUUUGAGAAGACUUUCAGAUGAAAAGACAAGCGCAUACAACUAGGAACUGUUAUUAUUGGCUGCUGCUUGUCCUAUUUCGAGUAUUUCGAUUUCAGACAAGAACCCCAGCUGUGACCUCCAGAAUUUUGAGAACACCAACGGUUUUCAGGAUGUGCUUCUCAGAAAGUGCUAACUUAUAAGAUAUACAUACUGAUGGAGAAGAUGACACUUGAGGGACAACAUGAAAGCUGACCCUUUAUCAAUUUUAUAUAGUAGAGUUCACACAUAAAACUAUUUGAAAGGGGAAAAGAUGCCUCAUUGCUUAAAAAAGAAAAAAAAUGAUGGAGAAUAUCUCUAAUAUCCCAAUCUAGCUUUAAGGAGAAUGUACGAUGGAGGCAUUUCCCAAUUUACUCCGUUUUAAAACGCUUCCCAGCGGGGCAGGACCACAGCGGGGAGUCGAAUAUGCUGCCUGUAUACGAACUCCAGAGGCUUGGAGACGCUUGCUGGCAAUACAGGUGGACAACCUGGCCUGAGAGAAACGUGAAACAGGGAAAUCAACUAAUUAACAAUCAGGCCUAAGAAGAUAUCAGAUAUACCCAUUUAUAAUCAUUCCAGAAGCAUGCUACCGGUCUUCACAUCUAAAUGGCCUAAGAUAAAAAAAAGGUAGGUUGUUUUCAAUCCUUUAAGAAGUUUUCCAUGUUUUAUCAAAGCUACUCAAAACAAUUUCCCCAUAGUAUUGGAAAGUGAAUUUUUCCCACCAUUCUUGAAAAACAGAAUACACAAUUUAUUUGAAUCACUUCUUAUGCUUUUCUAAACUAUCUUCUAAAGCCAAGGCCUAGCAAAAGCAUUAUUAUUCUUAGAGAGGUUUUGCCGCUUGAUGGUUCAAUCCUUACACUUUCUGCAUAGAAGUUUUACUUAUAUUUUUCUUGUUUUUUAAGUAUAACUGAUCUCAAACCAGGAUUCUAAGUAUCCCCUGCAUUAGGACACACCCAGUCUCAGUUCUCUUUCACAAGAGCAAGAAUUCUGUUAGCUUAAAAGUAUAAUACCAAUUUAACAGUUUAAUAAAUUCUAUCGUAUUUCCACCAGAUAGAAGUUUCUUCAGAUAAACCAUGUUUCAAAAGAGACCUCUCAUACAGGUUCUCAGUUACUAUCGGUUCCCACCAGAAAAGGAAAGCUUUACAGAUUUUCAAAGGAAGCACCGGUUUCCACAAGCUCUUAAAUGGAGCAUAGAGGGUUCAAAAAAGACAGAAAAGGCAAAAGAGCAAAAGAUAGCAAUUAUCUGUCUAAGCAAAUAUAACCACUCAAAGGAGAGAAGGAACAAGACUGCCCUAAACCGAAACACUGGGAAAAGCAAUGGACCAUAAACAAACCUUCUUUUUAGAUCUUUAUACAGCCAACCUCAAACCUGAUACAGUAGCUACUUCAACUAAUUACCAUCAGCACAAUUUCUGCUGUAAAGAAGCUAGUGUAGCCCACGGGAUCCGUGAAUGUUAGCUGACAUACAAGCACUAUGAAGUUAUGAAGCACUCAUUUGAGCCCUCAUUAGGCAAACAGUUCACAGGAGCACCAUAAAAGCCUGUGCUCCAAACACGGACCUGAGAACCAGCCCUGACAUAGACCCUGGCUCACUUUAAUCACUGCAUGUGAUAGCGCCUUCAUUUCCCUACUUGUGAAACAAGGAAAGAAUUGAGAAUGGUUUAUAAAGUGCUUAGAAAAUGAAAAAGACCCACCAUCAAUAUUACUUUAUAACACUAUAAAGGCCAGCAAGGGAGCCUUUACACUUACAGCUCAUCCUUAAUAAAGGCAUCAACCAAGUCAAGAGAAGUGACACAUAAACACAACCCAAAGCUAAGUGACUUAAUUACAAAUCUAUACCCUUAUUGGAGAGGGAUUUAGGAUGUGGAAGAAUUCAUUUUUAACUCUAAGGGAUGGUCACUGAAGGAGUCUCUUAGAAAUUAUGUGCAUGUUUUUUUCAGGUAUGCCACAGUUGUGGCAAAUGUUCAGGACAGUCUGCCCUUGAUAAUGCUACUGAGUCUUUUUUAUGCUCUUUUAAUUUCUAAACCUUUAUUUCUGGAACAAUAGUAAAAUUUUCGAGAUAAUCAGAAUUUCUCUAUCUGCUGUCUUGUAAUUAAAUAAUCACUAAAACCAAGGAGACUAGGAGUUCCCUUGCAGUGCAAUAGACUGAGCAUCUGGCACUGUCACUGCAGCAGCUCUGGUCACUGCUGUGGUGCAGGUUUGAUCCUUGGCCCUGGAACUUCCACAUGCCAUGGGUGCAGCCAAAAAACAAAACAAACCAAACACCAACAAGGCUUCAAAGUGUGCCUCAAAGAACUAAUGGCAGAGGACAGGAACGUAUACAUGGAGACAAAAGAGCCCAGAACUGAAAUAGUGAAGAGAAUUUCGCAUUUUACAUUUAUUAAAAAUGUGUACCCCAAUCAAAACUCACUAUAUACAUAUAAACACAUACACAUAAGCAAAUCCCCAUAUAAUUAGGUUGAUAAAUACACCCCAAUUUGAGAAGCCUGAUAAUAUGUAGAGCCUUGUCCUUCCAGGAAAGCAGAAUAUGGACUCUCAUUUAAGCUGACCCCUAAACUGGCAGAUGUUAAAGGUAGGUCACAACCAAAAGAAAGGUAUAAGGGAUACCAAGACACUAAGAGAACACAAUCAUCCUUCCCCUCAUUUUUAGGGCCACAUCUGGGCAUAUUCAAGUUCCCAGGCUAGGGGUCGAAUAAGAGCUGCAGCUGCUGGCCUACACCACAGCCACAGCAGGGAUCUGGGUCAUGUCUGCGAACUAGGCCACAGCUCAAGGCAGCACUGGAUCCUUAACCCACUGAGCAAGGCCAGAGAUCAAACACACAUUCUCAUGGAUACUAGUCAGGUUUGUUACCGCUGAGCCAAGACGGGAACACCCCCUCACUUUCUAAUUAACAGAAUCAGGCAAAGAAACAACAACAACAAAAAAACCUAUGAAGUCAUAUGGAAUUAUCACUACUCAUGCAGGGCUAAACAUGGGUGGCUUCUCCUGUAAAGUGUCUCAAUGAUCAAGGUGGAAAGCACCGUGUAAAUAAAAAACAGAUUCUGCAUUUAAAUAUUAAUUCAGUUAGUGUGGGCCUUUGGUUCAUAUGCUUGAAAUGCCAAGUUUCCAAACUAACAACAUAUAAUGUAUAACUAAUCAUGAUGCAAAUCAGCAAAAUAUGGCAUUUGCUCCAGACUUAAUACCACAAGUUCUUACAAAACUAGAGGAGGAAAAAUUUUCUAAGUUUAUGUGAUGCUAAUAAUACACCAAGCUCUGUGAAUCUAACUAUAAUUAAACUAUUUACAUAGGAGAGCAACAUUUUUCUAAAUGUUCAUGCCUCUUAGGCAAGUAAAUGAAAGUUACACUCUUGUGGAAAGUAUUUUACCUUCUGGAAGACAUAACAGACUUUACGACAUUCUUUAAAAGUGAAAGUCCUUUGGAAGUCUUGGUUGAACAAGUAGCUCAUUACAACGAUACGGGGCACCUUGGUGUAAACUACAAAUUCUUGACUUAGAAAACAAGAAUUUCAAAAAGUUUUUGGUUGUACUUUCACUUCACUUUAAAAAAAGUUUAUCUAUGAUUUAAACAGGUUAUCUAAAACAAACGAAUGAGCCCUGACAUUUAACUGGUAUUUUUCCCCUGCGCUUAAACGUACUGUUACCAAACAUUAUCUCCAAUAUUUGGAUUUACUUGUAUUUAAUAUCAUUUCAAUGCUAAAAACCUGAACCGUACUUUAUGUGUAUAUACCCACCCACCCCUUAAAGAACUCAAUCUGCCAAGUUCUAUUACAACUUAAUGCAAUUUUGUUAUUUAUGCAUGGACUGCAAAAGAAAAAAAUACUAUUUCAAUUCUCAAGUUUUUAUCUCUUCCCUACCCAAGUAUUGAUCCAUACUUGCUCCUUUACAACAGAACAGCUUUAUCUUCCUUAUUAAACUGUAAUUUUCACAAUUAAAUGUGUAGUCAGAAGGUGCACAUCAUAUUAAAUAAACUACCAGGUUGCUAAAUAUUUAAAAUUUCAAAAUACUGAGAAUUACUUUCAGUACUUCCUAAAAUUUAUUAGUUACAAUUUACCACAUAGUAUAUAUCUAACAUAAUUAUGCUUUUAGCAAUCAAAUAUAAAUAAUAAGUGCAUGUAUGUUACACAUAAAAAUCAAAAGCCAUUUUUACUUGAUAAAACCCUACUGAUCGUUUAUUUGGGAGCAUGAACAUGGCCAUGGAAAGGUUUGUUCUCGUCGAGAAUGCUCAAGGUUUUGAGAGGCUUAGCAACUCUUGAGACUGGGCCAUCAAACUAACAGUGAUCCAGAACUUAACACUUAGUAUAUUUCAAUAUGGUGACUUUUUAUUUUUAAUUUAAAUAGUAUUAGAAUUUUUCCUGAACUCUAGUUUAAAGGAAAAAAGGGAAAUUUAACAAAUUCACAGAGGGUAUGUUUACAACCAAUGACUUUCAGAAUAAGCAGGAACAGGGGUCUUUAUAGAUUCACAGCCCAAACUCUACUUUUUACACAGAGACUAUAGAAUCAUAAAGCAAAGAUUUAGUCAGUUCAAAGUAUAGCAGCCUCUAGUAAGGCAGUGUUAGGAAAUUUUCAACAAGGGCCAAGACAAAGAAAGACACUACUUAAUGUUCAAUUAAACAGAAUACCCAUUCUCCACCCUCUAGUGAAUUGAGGCUUUUUAACGAACCCUCACAGUUUACCAAAAUUCCAGCCUUCAAGCCCAAUAGUUUUUUUUUUUUUUUCAUGCCACAAUCAGGAAAUCUUUGAAACUGCAGAAUAUAUGCUUUUUAGGGGCUCACAGCAAGUAUUCCUGUAGAGGGAAAAUGGCUAUUACCACUAAGGACAUCAGAUAACACUGUAUCUUAAGUAUAAUUUACUAAAUUAAACAAAAGCCCCUUCACAAACUUCACCUCAAAUACAUCCUCAAAGAAGAAAUGAUAUUCAAAUUACUUAAAAACUUGAGUAACUGUAUCAAAAACAAAUUCAGGUCAAAAUUACAUCUGUUUACCAAAUACUAAGUAGUAUUUAAAAAUUACAAAUAACACCAUUUAGUUUAUAAUCUGAUUCUUGUAACUACUAAAAAAGUUGUGAAAGCAAUAUAGUUAAGUCUCUAAUGGAACCAAGCCACCUCCUUUUCACUAACCAAAAUGUUACUUGGUAGCAAAGUGUCCAAUGUAAAUUCUCCCUUAAGCACCAACUGGUUAACUAUGUAUCAAAGAAUACCCCAUUCAUUUCCCCAGGAAUUUAACUCAGUGUAUCUUUAUAACAUACUUGCAACAAAAUCUUAAAAGUACCCUUGAGUAGCAACAAUCACUGUCAAUCUGCAGUAGCAAGUACAUUUUCAUGGAAAGGCCUGUUCUGAUCAGAGAAUCUUUUAAGAUUUUUAAAAGACUGGCAACUCUUUUGAGUUUGGGUCAUCAAAAUAACAGUAACUGAAUACGUAACAUACUUUAAACACAAGAGUGCAGAAUAUUAGCAACUUAAAAAAAAUUUUUUUUCUCUGAAACCACAAGUAAUUUCUCUGUUCAGAACCCACGUCUGCAACCAGCUCCAACCAACCAGCUCUAACCGGUUCCUAGAGGAAUGCGGUUAGGCUGAAAUUUUGGAAGUGCUGGCUUUGGUGGUGACCAAAGAGGAAGAAGUCUCUGGCUUCCCUGUUGCUGCAGUUCCCACCCUCCAAAAUGAAUAUACCCACCGGUGUGAAUUGACAAUGUGGUCCAAAGAGCAAGGCAGGAACGGAGUCCAGAUCCUCAAAAUGGUAGUACAGGGCAUAACCACUAGGCCACCUAUCAGUUCAGUACAAAAAGUACAACCCUGUGCAUCAUGGUGCAAAAGCUGGGGCCUAGGUUUCGCAUUGUGCAUCUCACACCUAUGGAAAUAACAAGAGGAGUAAAAUCUAUAGAAAUCAACACACCCUAAAAAGUUGGGUGCUCACAGAAGACUGGUGUCAACAAUUUUGCAAAGGUGGUUGGCUGCUGAGAUAAUAAAUGGCAAUUACAAGU